rnacentral:tmRNA from 1 species
GGGGGCGAUCUGGUUUCGACGGGGAUGUAGAGAGUAAGAGGAGCGAGCCCAGGAUCCAUGUGCCUGGCAAAAAACAUGGGCUUAAAGUUAAGUGACGAAGAUUACGCUUUAGCUGCUGCGUAACAUUUAAUGCGUAGCCAUCCUCUCGUUUCUUUCCUGCGGAAACGAGUUGGGUGCCAAACUUAGCAGGAUACCGAUGUAAGUUGCCUCGAUUACAUUGGGAAAUCUAAUUGGGGCUAGCCAUAGAAGUAUCCAGCCUUUAGGAGACUUAUAUGGCGAAACACCAAAAUAAAGGCUACGCUCGUAGAGCCUCUUACUUAUGCAUCUCCGGACGGGGGUUCGAUUCCCCCCGCCUCCACCA